rnacentral:rRNA from 1 species
AGAGUUUGAUCAUGGCUCAGAUUGAACGCUGGCGGCAGGCCUAACACAUGCAAGUCGAGCGGUAGAGAGAAGCUUGCUUCUCUUGAGAGCGGCGGACGGGUGAGUAAUGCCUAGGAAUCUGCCUGGUAGUGGGGGAUAACGUUCGGAACGGACGCUAAUACCGCAUACGUCCUACGGGAGAAAGCAGGGGACCUUCGGGCCUUGCGCUAUCAGAUGAGCCUAGGUCGGAUUAGCUAGUUGGUGAGGUAAUGGCUCACCAAGGCGACGAUCCGUAACUGGUCUGAGAGGAUGAUCAGUCACACUGGAACUGAGACACGGUCCAGACUCCUACGGGAGGCAGCAGUGGGGAAUAUUGGACAAUGGGCGAAAGCCUGAUCCAGCCAUGCCGCGUGUGUGAAGAAGGUCUUCGGAUUGUAAAGCACUUUAAGUUGGGAGGAAGGGUUGUAGAUUAAUACUCUGCAAUUUUGACGUUACCGACAGAAUAAGCACCGGCUAACUCUGUGCCAGCAGCCGCGGUAAUACAGAGGGUGCAAGCGUUAAUCGGAAUUACUGGGCGUAAAGCGCGCGUAGGUGGUUUGUUAAGUUGGAUGUGAAAUCCCCGGGCUCAACCUGGGAACUGCAUUCAAAACUGACUGACUAGAGUAUGGUAGAGGGUGGUGGAAUUUCCUGUGUAGCGGUGAAAUGCGUAGAUAUAGGAAGGAACACCAGUGGCGAAGGCGACCACCUGGACUAAUACUGACACUGAGGUGCGAAAGCGUGGGGAGCAAACAGGAUUAGAUACCCUGGUAGUCC